GUAAACACAAUAAAGAGGAAAGUAAAACACACCCUGCUUAUACAGAGAGUCUUUAGUAGCUGAGAGAAGAUUUUGAAAGCGUGUUUGAAAAUGGCCUUGGAGUGUUGAUGCCAAUAUGAGGUGUCUACGGGUUCGCCCGUUA
rnacentral:misc_RNA from 1 species